rnacentral:rRNA from 1 species
UGGGGAAUUGUUCACAAUGGGCGAAAGCCUGAUGACGCAACGCCGCGUGGAGGAUGAAGGUCUUCGGAUUGUAAACUCCUGUUGCCCGGGACGAAAAGCUCUGACCUAACACGUCAGAGUCUGACGGUACCGGGUGAGGAAGCCCCGGCUAACUCUGUGCCAGCAGCCGCGGUAAUACAGAGGGGGCAAGCGUUGUUCGGAAUUACUGGGCGUAAAGGGCGCGUAGGCGGCCUUCUAAGUCAGACGUGAAAUCCCCGGGCUCAACCCGGGAACUGCGUCUGAUACUGGAGGGCUUGAAUCCGGGAGAGGGAUGUGGAAUUCCAGGUGUAGCGGUGAAAUGCGUAGAUAUCUGGAGGAACACCGGUGGCGAAGGCGGCAUCCUGGACCGGUAUUGACGCUGAGGCGCGAAAGCCAGGGGAGCAAACGGGAUUAGAUACCCAAGUAGUCCCUGAGCGGGCUGGCAAGGCGCAU